UCCAUGACAACCGUCCUCUGGCCUGCUCACCUCUGUUGGCACUAAUUGGCAUGAUCUCGUAAUCCUGAUGUAACAAAUACAUGCCCUGUUUAGUAAGAGACCUAUUUUUUAGAUCAUCUCUUGAACACACAGAUCCCACACAUUAUUGUUCGGUAACCUGACUGGGAUCUUGAAAUAGGAGAAGAAACUAUCUCCUCCUUUCUGGUCAGGACACAAAUAUGAGCUCAUCACAAAGGGAAGUACCAAUUAUGAUAUAGAGGCGAGGCGAGGCGGAGUGCUCAUGUGACUACGUAUCCUGUGAAGAAUCUGUUUCUGUCUCUGGGGUCUAAGAAACAGAAAAGGUUGACCUCUUCCUCAAAUGCCAGAUGUCUUGUAAAGAGCUCCGUGACGUUGGCCCUAUAGGCAUGGUGAAAGCUGCCACUCAGUGUCUGCUGCUGGACCUGCGGCCCACACUGAAAAACAAGCCCUUUACGGAGCGCAGACACAACUAUAUCACUCUUCGGCGCCUGCACUGUAGAGGAGAAAGGACGCAGCCAGGCUGUUCUGGAGAUCAUUGUGUGAGACAUCAGAUUUGAAGAAGAAAAAUGACAAGAUUGCUCACCUUUACCUCUUGUUAUUUUGAUUUUUUUCUGCAAAUAUUUUCUUUGAAUUUCUAAUAAAUAUGAAACAUUUUUU